CUGCCUUGAGGGUAGUCCAAGGAGAUGGGUUAGAAAUGGAUUUGCAGAGUUUUUCAGCUCCAGGUUUCUGGAGAUCAGCCAGGCCUUGGCAUACUUGAAAGCAAUUAGGGAAAACAAAACAAAACAAAGAGCAGGUCAAUGUAAUAUUGCUGAGAGCUUGGCACAGGCCAUUUAUCGUCUGAAUUAACCUUUCACACCGUUUUUUGAUAAAGUUUGUGUUGUGCUGCUGAGAGAACAACAUUUUUUCUCUUCUUUGUGAGGAGAAUCUGAGACUGAAUGUUUCCUGAGGCCAUGCCAAAAACAAAGGGAAAGGAAAACAAGAAUGUGUUCCUGGAGGCCAAGAUAGGAUUGUGGAUCUUCUCCAUCUGCGAAGGAACCGAAGGUGGAAGGGGAGAGGAGAUGAAGAGCGCCAUAUGCACAUGGUUUCCCAGGAGCUGGUUAGGAUUGCCUUUUGAGGAGGGAAAAGAGUUUAUAUGACCUGUGCUUUCCCUACCUAAAGCUUUGAAAAGGAGCCACCCUCUGGAACAAUUUUACUGAGGAUGUGUGAGUGAUUGGUAGGUCCUGGGAAGAAUUCUGCCCAAGAAUGCACUCCUGCUUUUCAGCAUCCAGGUCACAGGAGAUAAUUUAAUGUGGGUUUUUCUCUGACCUUCUUUUCCUUUUCUUUCCAAAGAUCACACUAAGGUAAAAGUGCCACUGUCUUGUCUGAGACAAGUGCCAUGUCAUUGACUGACAAGUAUUCUUUGUCAAUCAACAUCCCUGGUGUAGGUUGUCAUGUUACUGUGUGAGUGAUAUAUUUGAUCCUCAGCAACUGCCUGUGAGAGUGAAUUUAUUUUAAACUUUGUUUGCAAAUGUAUUUGCACCUAAUGUAUUCAUGUAAUGAUUUUGAAAAAUAUUCCAGAAGGUCCAUUUGAAUCUGAGGUUAUCAUGAGGUCAAGUGGGUGAUGUCUUUCUGUAUAUC